UUUCUCUGCAUUUCAAGUCAGGUGAAGAUAUUUAAAAGUCUUCUAACAAAACACUGGAUGAAAGAUUUGAGUUUAACCUUUUUUUCUCCUUUUCCCUGCAGAAAAGCUGUGUGAGGUGGAAGUCUAGGAGCACAGUACCGCUCACACAGGAAACGCACUCCUCACCCCUCUUAAACUGUCCUGGAUUGGGAUUUACUUUCAGGAGGAAGAAAAUGUUUCCAAUCCCUAGUCUGAUUUAGAGCUGGGGCUCAAAUUUGAAGCUCUCAGCUGAGGCCAAUUUACUUCAGCACUUACCGUGGCACAGAGCAGUUCCCCAGCUAGCAAGUGAUGCUGGAGUAUGAACCAGCCAAAGCACAGUGUCUGUGGGGAGCUCCAGGGCAGGCGGGUCUCUACACUACAGCUGCUGUCCAGCAUGAGAGGUCAGGAAUUUGUGUGCAUCCCCAAACUGUUUGCACUCUACUGAUGAAAAUUUCCAGUGUGGUAAGUAUAGAUUCUCUUCAGCAUGCAUGCUUUUUGUCGUAAGUAAAAAUAAUUAUGUCUAUAUGUUUUUAUGAGGUUCUUCUUUUGCGGCACAAUAAGUGGGCUUACAAGUCUAAUUCUAUAGAUCUGCUUAGAUAAACUCAGGGUUGGUUUGGUUGGUUAAACAAUAAUAAAUAAAUAAACAUAGAAAGGAAUUUUCACAGACCUUGUGAAAGACAGCCCUGAUCACUGAACUGGAAAAACGUGCAAGAUUUAGGGGGGGGGAAAAAAAAAAAAGGAAAAAAAAACCAAAAGAACAUAAGAGUAUAGCACUCUUAGUUUGAUGUGAGAGGCGCCUAGAGAACUAUGUAAAAGCAGCCCCCUCAGCUGCUUGUUCUAACAGGUGGGUCUCUAAUGAAGAGCCACAUCUGUGUCCCUGGGCAGCAUAGACUGUUACAGACAUUUAAUGCAGCAUAAUCUGGUGCCGUCCAUGCUGAGCACUACAGGUUAUCUCCGCUUGCAUCAACUUUCUAUAUCAUCCACUGUGAUUCCUAGGCUUAGCCAGGAGUCUUGUGAAGGUCAGGGGGUUUGGAUGUGGGUGGGGAGGACAGAAGGAGCAUUCUUGUGGCGUGAUACCUGAUAUUGAGUUCCAUUUGCUCUGCAGUGUCUGGCGCUGCCAGGAGGCUGCCGUACGUCUGCUCCUCUGGUGCUCUGUCAGGGUAUCUGGAGAGAAGGACGUGCCUGGGGCUCUGCUGUGCCUGGGACAUGGUGCUCUGAAAAGAAGGGCCAAGCGUCAGUUCCAUGGCAUCUGGGAACACGAGGUUGGGUUCAGGCGGACGCGGUUCGGUGUGCGUGGCCACCCCUGCUGGGCCUGCAGCAUGCUGAGGUGAGCUCUGCUCCGCCUGCUGCCUUCAGGGCGCCCGAUGAGUGACUUCAGUGACAGCCCUCUGGAUGUGCAUUUUUGUCUGGUGUGAGCCUGGCCUGCUGCUUUAUCCUCUGCUUCCCAGCUAUGUCAUCACUGAGCUAGCUCCUUUUGCUUGAUGGAGUAAUCCUGGAAUACAAUGAAUGGGAUUUCCCCCGGGCUGGGCUCCUUUGUCCUUUUAAGCACACUCUGCAGAAUAGCAUCUAUGUAAAAUAUUCUCAGAGAUGGAGCUCAACCAAGCGAAGACUAUCUGUCAUAACACUGCUUGUAGUGGACUUAUUUGCCAGCUCUAUUCAAUCCUGUAAACUCUGUUCUUCACGUCUUACAUUCAGGUCAAUUUUGAGGCCUUUAUGCACCAAGAAAUCCUUGAUCUUCUUUCACUGUUUAGAAGAAUUCUACAUUUUCCAUAAGGCAAAGUUAUCAAAUAUUACAGCGAAUGUGUUAGUGCAUAAGUAAACACACUACCAUAAGAUAGCAGAAACUUGGUACUAACUAAAUGAAAGUAUAUUUGGUUCAGCCUGUAUCAUUGCAAAAGCAAAGACUUCACUUACUUACAUUUAACGUGACUAGAGAAAAAAAUCUAAGGAUUACAUUGUGUUCAGUAGACAUUAACAUACACUGCACAGACUAGAAUCUAAUCUCUUGUUCCUUUUAUUUAUACAUUGCCACACUUAGUUAUUUAGCUGUUCAUUUACAUGUCAGUGUCAGAAUCUGAACAUAUGUUACAGGAUAGUUAAAAGGUUUGUGAUGAUCUUCAAAAAUAACAAACAUGAGUAGUUUCA